rnacentral:rRNA from 1 species
UACGUAGGGUGCGAGCGUUGUCCGGAAUUAUUGGGCGUAAAGGGCUCGUAGGCGGUUUGUCGCGUCGGGAGUGAAAACCUCGGGCUUAACUCGGGGCUUGCUUUCGAUACGGGCAGACUAGAGGUAUGCAGGGGAGAACGGAAUUCCUGGUGUAGCGGUGAAAUGCGCAGAUAUCAGGAGGAACACCGGUGGCGAAGGCGGAUCUCUGGGCCAUUACUGACGCUGAGGAGCGAAAGCGUGGGGAGCGAACAGG